GGGGAUUUAGCUCAGCGGUAGAGCACUUGCCUAGCAGGUGCAAGGCCCUGGGUUCAAUCCCCAGCUCCG
rnacentral:tRNA from 1 species